rnacentral:rRNA from 1 species
UUGCCAGCAGCCGCGGUAAGACGAACCGUGCGAACGUUGUUCGGAAUCACUGGGCUUAAAGGGCGCGUAGGCGGACUUGCAAGUCUGCGGUGAAAGCCUCCAGCUCAACUGGAGAAGUGCCGUGGAUACUGCGGGUCUCGAGGAGGGUAGGGGCAUCUGGAACGUUGGGUGGAGCGGUGAAAUGCGUUGAUAUCCAACGGAACUCCGGUGGCGAAGGCGAGGUGCUGGACCCUUUCUGACGCUGAGGCGCGAAAGCCAGGGGAGCGAACGGGAUUAGAUACCCCUGUAGUCC